rnacentral:rRNA from 1 species
GGGACACGUGGUAUCCUGUCUGAAUAUGGGGGGACCAUCCUCCAAGGCUAAAUACUCCUGACUGACCGAUAGUGAACCAGUACCGUGAGGGAAAGGCGAAAAGAACCCCGGCGAGGGGAGUGAAAAAGAACCUGAAACCGUGUACGUACAAGCAGUGGGAGCCUCUUAAUGGGGUGACUGCGUACCUUUUGUAUAAUGGGUCAGCGACUUAUAUUCUGUAGCAAGGUUAACCGAAUAGGGGAGCCGAAGGGAAACCGAGUCUUAACUGGGCGUUAAGUUGCAGGGUAUAGACCCGAAACCCGGUGAUCUAGCCAUGGGCAGGUUGAAGGUUGGGUAACACUAACUGGAGGACCGAACCGACUAAUGUUGAAAAAUUAGCGGAUGACUUGUGGCUGGGGGUGAAAGGCCAAUCAAACCGGGAGAUAGCUGGUUCUCCCCGAAAGCUAUUUAGGUAGCGCCUCGUGAAUUCAUCUCCGGGGGUAGAGCACUGUUUCGGCAAGGGGGUCAUCCCGACUUACCAACCCGAUGCAAACUGCGAAUACCGGAGAAUGUUAUCACGGGAGACACACGGCGGGUGCUAACGUCCGUCGUGAAGAGGGAAACAACCCAGACCGCCAGCUAAGGUCCCAAAGUCAUGGUUAAGUGGGAAACGAUGUGGGAAGGCCCAGACAGCCAGGAUGUUGGCUUAGAAGCAGCCAUCAUUUAAAGAAAGCGUAAUAGCUCACUGGUCGAGUCGGCCUGCGCGGAAGAUGUAACGGGGCUAAACCAUGCACCGAAGCUGCGGCAGCGACACUAUGUGUUGUUGGGUAGGGGAGCGUUCUGUAAGCCUGUGAAGGUGGCCUGUGAGGGUUGCUGGAGGUAUCAGAAGUGCGAAUGCUGA